CCCUUAGAUGUUCUGGGCUGCACGCGCGCUACACUGAAGCGUUCAACGAGUAUUCACCUUGCCCGGGAGGGUUGGGUAAUCUUUGAACGUGAAUCGUGAUGGGGAUAGAUGAUUGCAAUUAUUCAUCUUCAACGAGGAAUUCCUAGUAAACGCAAGUCAUCAGCUUGCAUUGAUUACGUCCCUGCCCUUUGUACACACCGCCCGUCGCACCUACCGAUUGAAUGGUCCGGUGAAAUCUUCGGAUCUGAGAGAUGUCUGAUUAAUUUCGGACGCCUUUUGGAAAAGUUGUUUAAACCUUACCAUUUAGAGGAAGGUGAAGUCGUAACA
rnacentral:rRNA from 1 species